UACGUAGGGUGCGAGCGUUGUCCGGAAUUAUUGGGCGUAAAGGGCUCGUAGGCGGUCUGUUGCGUCAGGAGUGAAAACUCGGGGCUUAACCCCGAGCCUGCUUCUGAUACGGGCAGACUAGAGGUAUGCAGGGGAGAACGGAAUUCCUGGUGAGCGGUGAAAUGCGCAGAUAUCAGGAGGAACACCGGUGGCGAAGGCGGUUCUCUGGGCAUUACCUGACGCUGAGGAGCGAAAGUGUGGGGAGCGAACAGG
rnacentral:rRNA from 1 species